UGUGUGUGUGUGUGUGUGUGACACAGAGAGAGCAGCAGUGCAGACGCGCUCCGUCGCGCUCAUGUCUCAAGCCGUUCUCCGUACAUUACUAUGACCAUAUGCGUGCCAAGUUGACUCGCGUCGCCUGCGCGUCGACGACAGCGUUGCGUACCAGAGGAAAACAUGGACGAGUCGUCUUUGCUGGAUCUGCUGGAGUGCUCUGUGUGUCUGGAGCGGCUGGACACCAGCGCCAAAGUGCUGCCCUGUCAGCACACCUUCUGCCGCCGCUGCCUGGAGAACAUCGUGAGCUCCAGACACGAGCUGCGCUGCCCAGAGUGCCGCAUCCUGGUGGACUGCGCAGUCGACGAUCUGCCUGCUAACAUCCUCCUGGUGCGUCUUCUGGACGGGAUUAAACAGCGUCCGCGGAACGGAGGAGGGAGAGCGGCGCUGGCGGGAUGCGCGGCCGGCGGAUCGGCUUCGCCCGCGGGGACAGCGGUGCGGGAUCUGCCCGUCGCCACGCGGAGCUCCCCGGUCAAGAACGUUCCUCAGCUGCCGUGUGGAAAAGCGCUUUACAGCUACGAGGGCAAAGAACCGGGCGACCUGAAGUUCAGCAAAGGCGAUAUCAUCAUCCUGCGGCGGAAGGUGGACGAGAACUGGUUCCACGGCGAGCUAAACGGCAGCCACGGAUUCCUUCCAGCCAGUUACAUCCAGUGCAUCCGGCCGCUGUCCCAGACGCCGCCGCAGGGGAAAGCACUCUACGACUUCGAGGUCAAAGACAAAGACCAGGACAAAGACUGCCUGACCUUCACUAAGGACGAGAUUCUCACCGUCAUACGAAGAGUGGACGAUAACUGGGCAGAAGGCAUGCUGGGAGAUAAGAUUGGGAUUUUUCCUAUUUUAUACGUGGAGCUGAAUGAAACGGCGAAGCAGCUGAUGGAGAUGGACAAACCGUCGGCGAGCGCAGAAGCCGUCAGCUGUAACGGGAACGGCGCGCACAGACACGCGGAGGGGAAGAAGAACGCCAAGAAGCGGCACUCGUUCACGGCGCUCAGCAUGACGCAGCGCUCGGCGCAGGUCCUGGGAAACAACCGGCACUCGAUGGAGAUCAGCGCACCUGUGCUCAUCAGCUCCUCGGACCCCCGCGCCGCCGCUCGCAUCACAGACGGCCCACACCUGUCCUCCAGCGCACCUGCCACACAGGACUCUUCAAUCACAGCAAACACUGGAGCUUCAGUUCCGCCGCGCCUCACGUCAACAACCGGAGAGCUGCUCGCCGCCGCUAAAGUCCAGCUGCCUCUCAACAUAUAUCUGGCCAUGUACGCUUACAAGCCGCAGAAGGCAGAUGAGCUGGAGCUGAGGAAGGGUGAGAUGUACCGUGUGAUGGAGAAGUGUCAGGACGGCUGGUUCAAAGGCACGUCACUGCGCUCCGGAGCGUCUGGAGUUUUCCCAGGAAACUACGUCACGCCCGUCUCCAGGGCUCCGUUCGCCGUCGGUCAGACGCGCUCGUGUCUCUCUGGAGCGGCUCAGGCUCAGGCUCCUGGAUCUCCGGGCUCCGCCGGUCCCUCCAGUCCGGUCCUGAUGGCGUCUGCGUCUGCGUCCCGCUCCAGCACGCCUCUCAGCAGCCCGUCGUCUCCGCAGCUGCAUCUGAAGAACUGCCUGCGCAUGUGCAGCCAGCAGACGGUCAAUCAGGCGCGCUCCGCCAUGCAGCUGGUGCACAGUCCUCCGGCGAGCAGCAGCAGUCCGUCUCGAUCCCCGGCGCGGCCCCUGUCUCACGCUCGGCCCCUGAGGCCCCUGAGCUCCAUCACGCCUCCCAACGUCAGCGUGGCACAUCUGAACGGAGCGGAGCCGCAGCCGUCCUCGCCCGCACACGCAGACGCAGACGCAGACGCAGGGCUGCACAAACUAGACGACAAGAAGCUGGAGAAGAAAGAGAAGAAGAGCAGCGGUCUCCUCAAGCUUCUCUCCGGAGCCGCAGCCAAGAAGAAGUCUCGCUCUCCGCCGUCCGUGUCUCCGACACACGAGUCGUCCGGUCACAGCCGCGCCGGAUCCUGCCCCAUCGAGAGCGAGAUGCAGGGGGCGAUGGGGAUGGAGCCGCUGCACAGAAAGUCCGGCUCGCUGGACCUUAACUUCUCGGUGUCUCCGCCGGUGCGACAGCCCUGCUCCUCCUCGCCGCUCGCCGUCCGGCCCGAGCCCAAGCCCCUGUCCCGAGAGAGGUGAGUCCCGCUGACCACAUCCACCCGCUUCAACAUCUCAGUCAGGGCUGGGAAAGUUACUCUAAAAACCUUACUUGCUCAACGACUCCCAAACGAUUCGCUCAAUGAUUCAUUUUUCCAAACCCCGCCUCUGCGUGACGCUAAUCUGCUGUGAUUGGUCGAUUGGUCACAGUGUUUGUGAGCCAGUGCUGCUUUGUGUACAGUGUUACCGGGGAAACAGCUCCAAAAGCAGCACCUAGUGGCAAAGAAUGAAUUUGCAUUUUCAUUCAGACCAGCAAGCCAACGGCAAUAUGCUAAUGUUUCAUUUUGACAUCAAUGUGAAACGGCUUGGGAUUCGUUUUAAAAACGACUCGUUUGAAUGAUUCAGAGUCGACUCUUUCUUGUGAGAGACAAUAACUUUAUACACGGUGCACUUUCAGAUUUAAAAGUUUGCAGGAUGUUUUCAUUCAUUUAGAGCUGUGUUACACACUGCAUGAAAGAUCAUCUUCAAAAAUACAUAAUAGGGGCACUUUAACAUAUAUGUACAGAUUGCACAACAGCACUCAUUAUGUCUAUUCUUAUAAUACACAUUUGAAUGCAUGAAUUUAAGACAUGUAGCAAGCUUUUUUUUUUUAAAUGCAAUUUUAUGCAUUUUAGUUAAAUAAAUAAAAGAAAAAGAAAUGCAGUUUAAGCACCAGGUUUGUUUUUGAACAGUGCUUUACAGCAUGAUGCGGUUUGGUUUGUAUCUAUUCAUCGCUGCACCCUCUUGUGGACUGAUGCUGUAACAUUUGAUGCCUUUACUAGUAUUGAAAUAUGUAAAUUAGAAUUCAAAUAUAAUCAUUCAAAUAUUUAAUAUUCAUACUUUACUAGUCAAAAGUUUUGAAUAAUUUGGAAUAUUUUUCCAAAUAAAUAAAUUUAUUUAUUUAAAUUUUCUAAAUAAAAGAAGUUUCUUCUGCUCCCCAAGGCUGCAUUUAUUUGAUGUGAUGUGAAUAUCUAUUAAACUGUAAUUGAUUGCUGAGUCAGUAUCUCCUGAUCUGGGCUGUCUAAAUAAAAUCACAACUUACAAUAUUCAUCCAAUUCAAGAUCUAAAUGCACAUUUGAAUGCAUGAAUUUAAAGGGUAAUGAAACCCUAAAACACAUUUUUUAAAGAUAUGCACAUCAGUGAAAACACUAAAAGCACUCAUAAUGUCUGUUAUUAAGGGGAAAGUGGUUAUUUUUUCAUGUUUUGGAGCAAUUUUGUUCUUCCGGUUCAUAUGCAUUAAUUUGCAGUGGUGAUUGGCUGCCAGCUUUUUUCAGUAUUAUUCAUGAGAAUGAACUCUUAUGAUCCGAUCACUUUACUGUAUUAUGCAUGAGGUUGUAUUACAGUGGAGAAUUCAAAUCUAAAUGCACAUUUGAAAAAAAUGCCUAAGUUAAAUCUUUUCAUUUUUGCAAUUUUAUGCAUUUUAGUUAAAACAUACAGUAAAUGCACUUUAAGCACCAGGUUUGCCUUUGAACAAUACAUUACAACAUGAUGCUGUUUGAUUUGCAUGUAUCCGUUGCGCCCUCUUGUGGACUGUUUGAUGUGUUUACUAGUAUUGAAAUAUAUCAUUUAACUCAUAACUCAUAUUUCAUCAUUCAAUUUUUGAAAAUAUUUCAUAUUUAUACACUACCAGUCAAAAGUUUGGUAUAAUUUGGAUUUUCUUUUAA